GCGCUAGACGAAUGCAUCUCUGAAGGCUCAACGGGGCUUCAAUUUGUUCUGGAGCUUACGAAAGGUGGGAGAUUAUCGCGGAUUAUAACGUACGUUGACGCAGAUCCAGGUGUUAGCGCUACUGGAAGCUUGUACCACGGAUCAAGGGACAUACAGACUGGUGUUCGAGGUGCUGUGAUCGUUUCCCUAUUCUUCAGUUGCUUUGCGCUAUACCCGUGGAAUCGCGGUUCGUUUCAGCGAUCUGACGUCCGGAAAAGUCUGGUACUAGCGGUUGGGGAACAACGUCUGAGGGUCAGGAGCGUCUGGCAGCACCGGCAGAGAACCAUUGAGCUCUUCCGGUGUUACGGGUUGCUUUUGCGUGUUUUGGAAGGCUGUAUAGGCUUGCGGACCCUCUCACCCACACCCAGACGAGGUCAGGUUAGAGGUGCUGGGCAGCGUUGUCGUGGCGAAUACCAAAGUGUAUGAACAGGUUCAGUCGGCUGUGCGCCGCACGAUACCGAAGCGGAUCGGAACGAGCGUGUUUGCAGCUACUGGCGCCCGAGCGCUUGGAAUGAAGCAGCACUUGGAGCACAGUUCGUGACCUUGAACGACGCAUCUGGCACCCUUUUGAGCUGCGAAGGCCAACUGGGGCUUGCAAAGAUGGAUCGGGACGAGAUAUCAUGGGUCGAGUACUUCAGCAUGUCGAGCAACAAGACACCUAUUGUUUCAGUAUGCGAUCGGGGCACGGGUGAUAGAAGCGAAGCUUUCGCGGGACAAGUGUCAUUGCGGAGCAACGCUUCUUUCUGCGCAUUGCGGCCAUUGCCCAGGUGUGCACGGCGCCCAGGUCAGUGCUGUCCACGCGCAGCUUUUUUUGCUGGUACGUCUGCACUUCCAGUGCGCUCUUCGGGCUUUUCUCUUGUGGAAUGCGGUUCCUUUCUGGUAUCGUGGCUGGGCAGGCGCCCAUGGAAGGCAAACAGAUGCCGGUUUGCUUUAUUUGCGAAACACGAGCGAAACUUUCCAGACGCAUUCCAGAGCGGGGAGCGCCGAAGCCUCAACCGCCAAAAAACGCCAGCCGCUGGAUUGAAAGGUGCACUGUCGGACCUGUUGCAUCGGGUUCCGAACCUGCUGCCUGCCAGGGACCGGGAUCUGCGGUCCGAUCUGGUGUCAUGUCUCCAGCGUCUAGGCCGUGUAAGUCUGCUUUCAUUCUUGCUUCUCUUUAUAGACGCGUAUUUGUCGCUCGUCGUGUUCAGUAUAGGCUUGACGAGCACUGCGCUCUUCAUCGUAUUCCCGGGCACGGAGGAACGGCUUCGUACUCGCACCAGAAAGGCACUUGCACAAGUCGGCUCAAAGAUAUGCGCAUCUGCCGGGUCGCUUGGGCGGCGGUGUCGUACUGCUCUUCUAGAUCAACUGCGCAAGUUACUCUAGCGCUACCGGGCAAGCAAGUCACGGUUUAUGCCAAAUGGCGCCCUGCGGUGAUCGCUCAUGCGCAAUUCAGGCGGUUCGGCAACCAGGCGUAAAAUCAGCAGCGGGAUUGCAUGCCUUGCCGCAUAUAUUCAUCUGGUAGCGCUUUAUGUGAGCAGAGCGGCACCGGCUUCCAAGCAAGUCAUCCAGACAGAUGUUCUCUUAUAUUCAGGAUCUUUCGCGCUAUCCAAGGAAUCCCCGAUAGCGCAACGGCCAUCAACAUCCGGCAGAGUGUUCAUCGUUUCGCGCCAUAACUUCAAGCAUCCAUCACCGAUACUUCUCGUUGGAGACCGUCGUCCGUUUGUCCGACAAUGCGGAUGGCGCAUGUCGGCCGCCAGCGCCAACUGCGGUGCCCAGAGUUCCGGAGCGGUCGGACGGAAAACGCUUUUGAGCACGAAGCGUGCCCUGGCAAUGUCGCCUGUUUCUCAACCCGCCUGCAUCAGCGCUGUUCGUACCGUUCACUGAAAGCGUAGCCAUCCAUUCUAUGUUUACAGCGGAUGGAUGUACAUUGCCCGCGAUUUGAGAGGAAACGCAAACCCACUGAACGCGACAUCUUUUGCGCGUAUUUCCCCUACCUGAUUCAAAGUGCUUGCAGGACGAUGCCCAUAUCCGAAUAAAAUGCAACGGA